rnacentral:rRNA from 1 species
AACGAACGCUGGCGGCAGGCCUAACACAUGCAAGUCGAACGCUCCAGCAAUGGAGAGUGGCAGACGGGUGAGUAACACGUGGGAACCUUCCCUAUGGUUCGGAAUAGCUCAGGGGAAACUUGGGGGUAAUACCGGGAUAAGCCCUUCGGGGGAAAGAUUUAUCGCCAUUGGAUGGGCCCGCGUCGGAUUAGCUAGUUGGUGAGGUAACGGCUCACCAAGGCAACGAUCCGUAGCUGGUCUGAGAGGAUGAUC